AUGGCUCGAUCUCACGCCGACCGCCCCUUCCGCCCGCCGGAUCGGGGUCCGCUACCGCCGCACCGCUCACAGCAGCACCGCCAACCGCACCCGCAGUCCGCCGCGAUCCUCCUCCUUCGCGCGGGCCCCGAUUUCUCCUCCCCGCCCGCAACGGAGGUCGACGCGCUCGUCGCCGGCCUCCGCCCCGACAGCCUCUCCGUCUUCUCCUCCGGCCGCCACGCCGCUCGCCUCCUCUUCCGCUCCCUCCCUGCGGCCGCGGCCGCCGCGCGUGACCUCUGGUCGCUCCGCCUCGAGGGUCGCCACCUCCUCACCCCGUACCUCCCCGACGCCGCCCUCGCCGCGAAGGCAUUCCCCCUAAUCUCCUCGCUCUUCGCCUCCCACGCCUCCCGCCUCCUCGACUCCGACCUCGUUUCCCGUUUAGCCGCCCGCUCAUCUCAGCUCGCAGCCUCCGUCCAGUCUGUCAAGCACCGCCUGCGCGUCCGCCGCAGUAACCUCCGUGACUUCGAUCAGCUAAAUCUCCAGAGGAAAACGCUGGAGGCUGACAAGGAUUUGUUAGACGCUAAAAUUGCCGAGUAUAAAGCAGCAAUGAUGUCGAUACGUCGUGCGAUGCUAAGUGGGACGGAUGAAGAGGAGGAGGGGGUUGAUCUGUUUGGGAUUGUGGAAGGUGAUGAUGUGGAUUUUGCGAGGGUGCACACGAUGAUGCUGCGCGAGUGCAGGCGGCUCAACGAGGGACUACCAAUCUAUGCAUACCGUAGAAAAAUUCUCAAUCACAUAUUCGCUAACCAGGUUAUGAUCUUAAUUGGAGAAACUGGUUCUGGGAAAAGCACACAAUUGGUUCAGUAUCUUGCUGACUCAGGUCUUGCUGCCAACGGUUCAAUUGUCUGUACCCAACCUCGAAAAAUUGCUGCUAUAACGUUGGCACGUAGAGUAGAUGAAGAAAGCAAUGGCUGCUAUGCAGACAAUUUUGUGUCGUCAUGUUCAACCUUUUCCGGUUCUCGGGGCUUCAGUUCAGAGAUCAUAUUUGGCACAGAUAGUUAUCUUUUACAUCACUGCAUGAACGAUACGGGCCUGGAUGGCGUUUCAUACAUUAUUGUUGAUGAAGCUCAUGAAAGAAGCUUGAACACUGAUCUUCUCUUAGCUUUGAUAAAGAAGGAGCUGCUUGAUAGGGUGGAUUUGCGACUCAUUAUAAUGUCUGCCACUGCUGAUGCUAAUAGACUAGCUGAAUACUUUUAUGGCUGUCAAACAUUCCAUGUUAAAGGGCGCAAUUUUCCUGUUGAAAUUAAAUAUAUCCCAGAUGUAUCAGUGGAUGCUUCCUUCAAUACUGUACCGAACUCUCUGAAUGAUGCUUGUGCUACUGCUUCCUAUGUCAAUGAUGUUGUAAGGGUGGUAAGUGUGAUUCACAAGAAUGAAGAAGAGGGUGCCAUACUUGCUUUUUUGACAUCUCAACUGGAAGUUGAGUGGGCCUGUGAAAACUUCAGCGAUGCAAGUGCUGUGGUACUUCCUAUGCAUGGAAAGCUUUCCCAUGUAGAACAGAGUCGUGUUUUCAACAGCUAUCCCGGUAAGAGAAAAGUUAUCUUCUGCACGAAUAUGGCUGAAACGUCACUGACCAUCAAAGAAGUGAAGUAUGUUGUUGAUCCUGGACUGGCCAAGGAGAGCAGAUUUGUGCCUAGUAGUGGUCUCAAUGUGCUGAAAGUAAAUUGGAUUUCCCAAAGUUCCGCUAAUCAACGUGCUGGCCGGGCCGGUCGAACAGGAGCAGGGAAGUGUUACAGGCUUUACUCUGAAUCUCACUUCAGAAUGAUGGAAGUACAUCAAGAACCUGAAAUCCGGAAAGUUCAUCUUGGCACUGCUGUUCUGAGAAUACUUGCUUUGGGUGUUAGGGAUGCACAGAAUUUUGAGUUUGUUGAUGCCCCAAAUCCAGAAGCAAUCAAUAUGGCUUUGAAGAACCUUGAACAAUUGGGUGCUGUCAAAUGUAAAUGUAAUUUGUUUGAGCUGACUGAUACUGGACGCUACCUGGUCAAAUUGGGAAUUGAGCCAAGGCUUGGCAAAAUUAUGCUUGAUUGCUUUGAUUCUGGUUUGAGGAAGGAAGGUGUAAUUCUAGCUGCUGUUAUGGCAAAUUCUAGCAGCAUAUUUUGUAGAGUGGGCACUAAUGAGGAGAAACAUAAAGCUGACCUUCAGAAGGUCCGAUUGUGUCACCAAGAUGGAGAUCUCUUCACUUUACUCGCUGUUUAUAAAAAAUGGGAGGAUGGGAAUGGAAACAGGAAUAUGUGGUGCUGGCAGAACAGCAUCAACGCCAAGACCAUGAGGAAGUGCCAGGAAACUAUAUCAGAGCUUGAAAAUUGUCUAAAGCAUGAACUCAACAUUAUUGUCCCAAGUUAUUGGUGUUGGAAUCCUGAGGUUCCUUCUAUGCAUGAUAAGUUGCUAAAGAGAAUUAUUCUAUCAUCUCUUACAGGCAAUCUUGCUAUGUUUUUAGGACAUGAAAAGUUUGGUUACCAGGUGAUUUCGACAGAUCAGGCUGUGAACCUUCAUCCCUCAUGCUCAUUGCUCAAUUAUGGCAGCAAGCCAGAGUGGGUGGUGUUUACAGAAAUCUUAUCAAUCCCAAAUCAGUAUUUGGUAUGUGUAACUGCUGUUGAUCAUGAUGCGUUGUAUUCAGUUCAUUCCAUGUCCUUCAUUCAUCAACUGGAGAAACAUAAACUGCAGAUAAAAGUGAUUAGUGGGCUUGGUCAUAAUUUAUUGCGAAGAUUUUGUGGCAAAUAUGGCCAAAAUCAACACAGGAUUAUCUCACAUCUCAAGGAAGAAUGCAGGGAUGACCGAAUAACAGUCGAAAUUAACUUCAAAAACAAUGAAGUUGUGUUAUUUGCUACAAGGCAGGACAUAGAAAAGGUCUUUUGCAUUGUUAACGGUGCUUUGGAGUGUGAAGCUAAGAUGUUGAGGAAUGAGUGCCUCGAGAGAAGAUUAUUUCCUGGGAGGCCUGGCAGUUCUCCUCUUGCAUUGUUUGGCUCGGGUGCUGAAAUCAAGCAUUUGGAACUUGGGAAGAGGUAUCUAACAGUAGAGGUUCUCCAUCAAAAUGCUCAUGAUAUCAAUGACAAGGAGCUUAUUUUUUUGGUGGGCAGUCUGAUCCCCGGUGUCGCUAAUUUUCAUAAAUCAGCUGGGAACUUUCGGAUAGCCUCAGAUGAAACUAAAUGGGGGAAGCUUACAUUCCUCAAACCUGAAGAUGCUGAAGAAGCUGUGUUAAAAUUGAACGGAAUAGAGUUUCAUGGUUCCUCAUUAAAAGUGGUUCCAGUAUGUUCUUCUGAUAAUCGAGGAUUACCAUUUCCUGCGGUAAGAGCUAGACUAUCAUGGCCAUGUAACCCAAGCAGGGGGCGUGCAUUUGGGACCCGUUUGCUCAGGCCCAGGGAAGCACCCAUAAUUGGCCCUUCUGUUUCUGCAUGUGAAGAAGCGCUGAUUAGAGAAAUUUCUUCGUUCAUGCCAAACAAGAGUUUUCCUGGACAAAAUUUCCGCGUUGAAGUCUUCCCUCCAGAGGAAAACAAUUCAAUGAUGAGAGCAACUAUAACUUUUGAUGGAAGUCUUCAUCGAGAGGCUGCAAGAGCGCUGGACCAUCUUGAAGGAAGCUUUCUUCCUUGUUGUCAACCUUGGCAGAUGAUACGGUGCAAGCAUGUAUUUCAUAGUACUCUGUCCUGCCCAUUACAUGUUUACAAUGUUAUCAGCCAGGAAGUUAAUUCUCUGCUUGAGAGCUUCCGAAGCCAGAAAGGUGUGUCUUACAAUUUCGAAAAGACUGAUAAUGGUAUUUUCCGGUUAAAGCUCACUGCAAAUGCCACAAAAACAAUAGCAGAUUUGAGAAGGCCUCUUGAGAUUUUGAUGAAAGGCAACACUAUAAACCACCCUGACCUGACAAUAAGUGCAGUUCAGCUACUUAUGUCCCAUGAUGGUGUAGUACAUUUGAAAUCUAUUGAACAAGAAACUGGUACUUACAUUCUUUACGACAGACAAAGUCUGAAUAUUAAAGUCUUUGGGCACCAAGAUCAGAUGGCUACAGCAGAGACAAAAUUGGUGCACGCACUUACAGAGCUCCUUGAGAAGAAGCCCCUGGAAAUUAGUCUUCGUGGCCAUAACCUCCCUCCAGACUUGAUGAAGAAAACAGUAGAGAACUUUGGAGUUGAUCUGGAAGGACUUAAGAAAGAAAUGCCUGCAGUAAAUGUUGAGUUACAUAAACAGCGACAUCUACUUAAAGUUUGGGGCAGUAAAGAGGAUAAGCGAAGGGUUGAAGGGAUGAUCUCUGAGCUGAUAACCUCUGUUAAACAGAAUGCCCUGGUUCAACUUCCGUCAGGGAGUGUUGGAGGAAGUAAGGAUAAGCAAAGGGUGGAUGACAAUGAGCUGGCGCAGGAUGCGUGCCCUAUUUGCUUGUGUGAGACUGAAGACCCUUUUGAGCUUGAAUCAUGUGGGCACAUGUUUUGUUGGGCUUGCUUAGUGGAUCAGUGUGAAUCUGCCAUGAAAUCUCAUGAUGGGUUCCCUGUUUGCUGCCUGAAAACUGGGUGCAAGAAGCCCUUCCUCAUAGUUGAUUUGAAGCACCUGGUGUCUAAUGAGAAGCUGGAGGACCUAUUCAGAGCUUCCUUGAGGACAUUUGUUGAAUCUAGAGCAGGAAUGUAUCGCUUCUGCCCGACACCCGAUUGCCAAUCCAUCUACCAAGUGGCAGCUCCAGAUGCAGAGACCAAGCCUUUUGUCUGCGGGGCUUGCUAUGUCGAGAUCUGCACCAAGUGCCAUCUCGAGUAUCAUCCUUUCAUGUCCUGCGAGGCUUACAAGCAAUACAAGGAAGACCCAGACGCGACGCUGCUUGAAUGGCGCAGAGGGAAGGAGAAUGUGAAGAACUGCCCUUCGUGUGGAUACACGAUCGAGAAAUCUGAGGGUUGCAACCAUGUCGAGUGCAGGUGCGGCAGCCACAUUUGCUGGGCAUGCUUGGCGAACUUCAGGAGCAGCGAGGAGUGUUAUGGCCAUCUCAGGUCUGCGCACCAAUCCUUUGUGGACAUUGUGUAG
rnacentral:rRNA from 1 species